rnacentral:tRNA from 1 species
CUGAAAAAGUUAAAUUGGUCUAACAGAGAGCCUAAAAUUCUCGGGACAGAGGUUCGAUUCCUCUUUUCAGU